CUUAGGUGGUUUUCUUGAUGAUGGAUACAAAAAAUCAGUAGCAGUUGUAAGGAGGAUUGCCAGCACAGCCACCAUAUCAGAGGGAAUGAAAAGAGAGAAAAAAGAAGAAACACAAAGUGAACCUGGGGCUUUCAUAUCACAUUCUACACAUUUUUCACUUCACAGAUGAUGAUCAGAAGACAAUAAUAAGGAACCUUCUUGGAUUGCAUAGAUUGAAGAUUUGGAACUAGAAAGCAACUGAGAGACUGGCUAGUCCAAUAUUCUAUAGAACAGCUCUGUUGGCUAAUGCCUACAAUUAAACAGUGCAGCAAGCUGCCUGAGAGUUUCAAGAUGUGAAAAUGAGGU